rnacentral:tRNA from 2 species
GGAAGCGUGCCAGAGCGGCCGAAUGGGACUCACUGCUAAUGAGUUGUGCCUUUACCGGUACCGGAGGUUCAAAUCCUCUCGCUUCCG